rnacentral:piRNA from 1 species
UAAGUUGGUGGUCAUUUGAUGCAGCCUCUUU